rnacentral:tRNA from 1 species
GCGCCCGUAGCUCAGCCUGGAGAGAGCGACUGCCUUCUAAGCAGUAGGUCCAGGGUUCGAAUCCCUGCGGGCGCG